CACCCGUUCCCAUGCCGAACACGGAAGUUAAGCUCUCCAGCGCCGAUGGUAGUUGGGGGUUUCCCCCUGUGAGAGUAGGACGUUGCUGGGC
rnacentral:rRNA from 1 species